GACGAACGCUGGCGGCGUGCCUAAUACAUGCAAGUAGAACGCUGAAGCUUGGUGCUUGCACCGAGCGGAUGAGUUGCGAACGGGUGAGUAACGCGUAGGUAACCUGCCUGGUAGCGGGGGAUAACUAUUGGAAACGAUAGCUAAUACCGCAUAAGAGUAGAUGUUGCAUGACAUUUGCUUAAAAGGUGCAUUUGCUUCACUACCAGAUGGACCUGCGUUGUAUUAGCUAGUUGGUGAGGUAACGGCUCACCAAGGCAACGAUACAUAGCCGGCCUGAGAAGGUGAUCGGCCACAAUGGGACUGAGACACGGCCCAGAAUCCUACGGGAGGCAGCAGGAGGGAAUCUUCGGGAAAGGACGGAAGUCUGAACGAGGAACGCCGCGUGAGGGAAGAAGGGUUUCGGAUCGUAAAGCUCUGUUGUAAGGGAAGAACGAGAGUGGGAGUGGAAAGUUCACACUGUGACGGUAUCUUACCAGAAAGGGACGGCUAACUACGUG
rnacentral:rRNA from 1 species